GCCGACGUAGCUCAAUCGGUAGAGCACUCGCCUUGUAAGCGAUAGGUUAGGGGUUCGAUUCCCCUCGUCGGCU
rnacentral:tRNA from 1 species